rnacentral:rRNA from 1 species
ACGGGAGGCAGCAGUGGGGAAUAUUGCACAAUGGGGGGAACCCUGAUGCAGCGACGCCGCGUGGAGGAAGAAGGUCUUCGGAUUGUAAACUCCUGUUGUUGAGGACGAUAAUGACGGUACUCAACAAGGAAGUGACGGCUAACUACGUGCCAGCAGCCGCGGUAAAACGUAGGUCACAAGCGUUGUCCGGAAUUACUGGGUGUAAAGGGAGCGCAGGCGGGUCAGCAAGUUGGAAGUGAAAUCUACGGGCUCAACCCGUAAACUGCUUUCAAAACUGUUGAUCUUGAGUAGUGCAGAGGUAGGCGGAAUUCCCGGUGUAGCGGUGGAAUGCGUAGAUAUCGGGAGGAACACCAGUGGCGAAGGCGGCCUGCUGGGCACCAACUGACGCUGAGGCUCGAAGGCAUGGGUAGCAAACAGGAUUAGAUACCCUGGUA